rnacentral:lncRNA from 10 species
CAAAAGGGCAUCUCCCGUAAUGGAGCUGCAAGGAAUCCCUUGCUUAGGCGCUCACGGUUAUCUCUCAUUCUCCCUCUCCCUUUUUCCCCGGGAACGUGAAAUGCUGAGAUGGAAAUCCUAGGGUGAAGAUCUGGGGUCCAUGAAUGCAGACCGAGCAGAGCUGAGGUUUGAACGACGCCUGUCUGCGGGCAGCGGAGCAGGCGCUCCCGGGAGCUUGGAGGGCGGGGAUGGGAAACCUAAGAAAUGCCUGGAGCCGGGUUACAGAGCCGCCCCUCGGGCACACAGCGGCCGCAGCGGCAGCCAGGAGCUCGGUGCAGAGGAACAGGGGAGGAUACGCGAAGCAAAUAACCCAAGUCUCCAUCGGACGCCUUAACAUCACCGGGAGCUGCGCGCACCCCGCGCCUCCCCCAUCCCAUUCCCGAGGGCCCGGGAGUUGCAGGGCCUGGCACGGGGUAUCCCCGCCGAAGUCGCCCUUUCCCCGGGGACGGCAGCAGCCUCGCUCCUCCCGGGUCUCCAGGAUUCAAUUCGUUGCCCGCUCCUAGCUUCCCUCUGCUCUGCGACGGCCCCCACUUUUUGUAGCCCCCAAAAGCACGCAGGACCCCACAUCCCCAGGAGAGGCCCUGCGGUGUUAGGGCGAGGACAGAAGGGGGAGCUAGGGACGGCGCCUACGUCCUGCGGGGAACUGGGGUGGAGGGGAGGAUGGGGGAAACGGGGCCUGCAGAGUCGCCCCUGCCUCUGUGCAGCGUGGAGGCGCCAAAAGCCGAGAAGGAAAUGCUCUCUGCCUUCGCCCCCAAACUUCUACUGGCCCGGCUUGCAGUGGCGAACCCCUGCAGGGGAAGCCAGUUGCCAGGUUGCAAACUGCCUUAUGGAGAGACCCACAUGGCAAAGAACAGAAGCCCUCAGUCCAAUACUUCACGAGGAACUGGAGAAGCCAGCUGCCAUGUCAUGAAGGCAUUCAGGCAACUUAGGAGAGGACCACAGAGCAGAAAAUGGAAAUCUCUGUUAACAGCCAAUGGGCACCUGAGGCUGACCAACAACCACAUGAAUGAGCUUGGAAGCAGAUCUCCCAGUCAAGCCUUCUGAUGAAACUGUGGCCCAGGUCUGACUAAACCUCAAGAGAGACCUUGAGUCAGAAUCACCUACCCAAGCUGCUCCUAGAUUUCUGCCCACAGAAACAGAAAUAUUUGUUGUUUUAAGCUGCUAAAUUUUGGUAUGAUGAGUUAUAUAGCAAGAACAGAUAUCAAAAUAUAAUCAUUGAUCAAGAGUUUUUUUUCAAUAUUAUGCAAACGCCAAUUGUACAUCUUUAGGAAUCCUUUUUAUUGUUAUGAACCUUUUCUGCCUGCCAUAGUAGGU